rnacentral:tRNA from 1 species
CGCGACCUAGCUCAGCUGGUAGAGCAUCUGCCCCGUAUGCGGAGGGUCGCGGUUCGAUUCGGCGCUCGCGG